rnacentral:misc_RNA from 1 species
GGACAGCAGCGCCAGGUUUGCGCUCAGUCGGUUCAGAUGCUGGUAAUAACGCUUCGUGGCGUCGCCGGUUGGCGUAUGGCUCGUUAAUCCGCGGGUCAGGCCAAGCCAGAAACUGCGGACGGUAUUGCUGCCGACAUGGCCGAUAUGUUUAAACAACAGCUUAUCAAAGGCAUUCACAUCAUUAUUCUGCGCUGCGGCCAUCUCUUCCAGUACAUAAGGAUGGCAGCGAAUGGCGCCCUGACCAAAGAUCAUCAUGCUACGGGUCAGGAUAUUCGCGCCUUCCACGGUGAUCGCGAUAGGCGCGCCCUGGUAAGCACGCGCCAGGAAGUUGCUCUCGCCCAGCAU